AUGCAGGCCUUGUUCGACUCCAGGUCUGGGCACUUUUUGUCUCAAAAAAUAAGGCUGGGCACUUUGCUUGUAAAACAAGCUGAUAGAAAAAGGAUGGCAAAAAAAGUGGGGCAUUCAGGUGAAGCUGAAGUAGCAUGCUGGCACUGUUUGUUAUACCCCAAGCUGACUGAGAAUAAAGAAGAAGCAUGCGUGGUCUUCCAGAGGAUGUGGGACAAGCAAUAUCAAACAACAAAGCACAGGGACAAACAAAAAACUCCCUGGGAGUACUUUAUAAUGUGCAUGAAUGAACAAAUUCAGUCUGGCAACAAGCACACUUUUAAAUUCAGAAAAAAUGAAUGA
rnacentral:rRNA from 1 species